GUGCUUGCUUCAGCAGCACGUAUGCUAAAAUUGGAAGGAUACUGAGAUUAGCAUAGCCCCUGUGCAAGGAUGACACAUAAACUCCUGAACCAUUUCAUAUUUUU
rnacentral:snRNA from 1 species